CUAGACUCCCUUCCUGGUUGCGCAGAGGGCUGUUGUCUGGGACUGUGAUCUGUUCUCUUCCAUUUCCCUGAGCUUCUGUAAGCAUACUUGCCUUCAGUCCUUAAACAGCUCCUACCGUGUGAUAUUUCUUUUGUGCUGUAACAAAUAAAGCUCACCUGAAGAUCACAGAGUGUGGAAAUAGCCACGUUGGUUAGCCAUAGAGGCCAGGCAGUGGAGGCACACACCUUUAAUCCCAUCACUCAGGAGACAGAAGCAGACGGAUCUCUGUGAGUUCAAGGCCAC